GGAGUAGCUUGAGGCAUUUGAAGCAGACUUCCUAUAUUGCUUUUAGCAGUAAGGAGAUGUUGAUUUAUAGCUAUAUGAUACAGUGCAUAUGGUUCUUCAAUUGUUAAAAAAGUAGUUUCAGUUUGCAUAUGGCAUCCAGAUUAAACUAUUAUCAGUCAAUAGGAGUCUCUCUUCAUACUAUUCAAUAACUCCUACUCCUCCUUUCAGUCUUCUUCUGUCUCUCACUUAUUUAUUGUCCUUUUGUUCAGCACAGCAGCAGGCGGGAGAAAGGAGUCAGAAAAUUUCAGAGAAGCAGCCCAGCAGACACCACAGUCAGUGUAUGAGGACAGGAAGUACUCCAGGCACUGCAAAGUUCCCUUGCAGCCCAGGAGAGGCCCAUGGUGUAGCAGGCUGUUCCCUUGCAGCCCAUGAAGCAUCAUAUCAGAGCAGAUAUCCUCACUGUAGCCUGAGGAAGAGCCCAUGCUGAAGUAGGUGGAUAUGGCCUGAAGGAAGGUACUAUUCGUGGAGAGCCCCUACAGAAGAAGACAAUGGGCUGGAGCUGCAUCCCAUGGAAAGAUGUCCACAGUGGAGCAGGAGGUCUGGGAUCCAUGCUGGAGCUGUCCGUUCCUGAGGGAUGGAUCCUACAGUGCAGUUCUUAAAAAACUGCAGCCUGUGGGAUGCUCAUCACAGUUUGGGAAGAGCUGCAACUCAUGGGAGGGACCGUACUCUGGAAUGGGGGAAGAGAAGUAGCAAUAAAGAAGAAAUGUUAUGCACUGACUGUGCUGUACACAAUAAAUGCAAACUGGAAGAAGGAAGAAUAAGGGAAAAAGAAAUUUUAUUUCCAAACCAUUUGUGACUCCAGCCUUCCUUAAAUUCUACAGUGUUUCCUCAUUUCUAGACUGGAGAUAGAGAAAAUAAGAUGAUGAGAUCCAAAAUAUGUGAAUAGCUAUUGUUUUUAUCUCAGUGAGUCUUAUGACCUUGUGUGAAAUAAUAAUAAUAAUAAUAAUAUAAAGCAAACAAAGAAAUUAAAAGAGCAGCAGCAGCUACAAAAAGAAAAUACAAAACAAAACAAUAAAGUUUCUAUAAUGAUGGGCCAAAUAAGUAUAAAGGAAUAUAGAAUAUAUAGGAUAUCACUGGCCUUCUGGGACACAAGGGCACACAACUGUCUCAUGGUCAACCUCUUAUCCACCAAGACACCUAGGUCCUCCUCUGCAGAGCUCCUUUCCAGCAGAUCAGCUCCUAACCUGUAUUGGUGCAUAUGGUGAAUCCUCCCCAGAUGUAGAACCCUACAUAUGCCCUUAUUGAACUUCAUGAACUUCCUUUCCACCCAGCUCUGCAGUCCAUCCAGGUCUUAUUGAAUGACAGCACAGCUUUCUGGUGUACCAUCAGCAAACUUACUGAGGGUGCACUCUGUCUCUUCAUCAAGGUUAUUGAUGAGUAUGUUGAAUAUGACCAGUCCCAAUAUCAAAUCCCUGGGGAACUCCACUGGCUACAGUCCUCCAACUAGACUGCGUGCCACUGAUCAAAACCCUCUUAGCUCUCCUGUUCAGUCAGUUCUCAGUCCACCCCACUGUCUACUCAUCUAUCCCACACUUCCUAAGCUUACUAAUAAUAAAUCCUGCUACAUAUAUUUAUACUUCUUUUUUUUUCAAAGAAGAAUAAUUGUGGGGCUAAAAAUAGGGAUUUAUUGCUGCAUUUGUUGCCAGUUUUUUGUUUUGUUUUGUUUUGUUUUUGUAUCAGCUGUGCUCCCUCAAUUUAGUGUCAUCUCUAAAUUUGAUCUCAGCAAGCGUCAUACUAUCUGAAGAGUCCAAGCUUAUUUCUUUUACUAUCCCAGCAAGCCUUGUAACCUUGCACAUCUUCAUACUACGUUGUUCCAUUUAAUAUAACCUUCACAUCAAGGCAGGGAAAAAAAAAAAAAACAAAGAAAAAAAAAAAAACAAUCAAAUAAAUAUAAAAGUCUUCUGCCCUUAGAGAGGGCUUAUGAGAUCAAAUCAGCUCGGGAAAGACUUGGACCAUUAUGUAUUUGGAUUCAGGUGAAGAAUUUUGGUGAUUACCUGUAGCAACUUGAUAAGACUAUGGUGCUCUUGAAGGGCUAAGGUGUAUUUUGAAGAAAUGUCACACUAUAAGAAUUACUUCAACUGGUCUGCUUUAAAAGCCAUUAUGCAAAAUGUCAGUGUCACCUAAAUAGCUGUCUCAGUCUCAGCACAAUUUCCUUCCAAGUAUUAUGAUCUUUUAUUGAGGCUAGAAGUCUCUCUGAGUUCAUAGUUUAAGAAUCAACCUACAAUUACAGCUGAAUAUUAGGAGCUAACAAAAAUGCUAUAUAAGUGGAGUAGGUUAGCAUGUGUUUGCAUCUCAGACUGAAGUACAUAUUGCAUACUUUUUUUGUCACUGACUUGUUUUUGAUUAAAUGGUGGUAUCUGUAUAUUUUCAGUAGUCUUUUGGGUCCUAAGUUCACCAGUGCAAAUCCCACUACAGUAAAAUGGGUGGGGAUUAAGUAACAAAAAGGCAUUAGAAUACAGAGUUCAUCCUCAAAAAGAGUACAGUAGUGGUGAUUGGAGUUUCAUCGUUUGUAGUUUUGCAUCUGAUUUAUUGUUUCUGCAUAUUUUCUGACAUAUUCUGAUUACUUGCACUUUGUUCAUUGAUAGCCACCAAACUAUCUUUGCACAUGAGCUACUAGUUAAAAUUAUGCAGUAGUCUCUUCACAUCCCAGAAGACUAAUACUUGCUACUCAGCUACUACAUAUUUCAGACCUGUGUUAUACGUAAUAUUCACAGAUAAGCUCCGACAUACAUGAGGCAGCAGUCAUGCUGGUGUAGCUAAAGAAAACUAAAAUCAGCUCAGGUCAAAGCAAGAUAAGUCUUCAGACAGUACACUGCCAGGUCAAUAUGUAGCUUGUGGCUUUUUACUAGUAAUGGAAAAAUCAUGCUUUUUUUUCAAAUUAAAUUUAUUUAAAUAUCUGCAUGUUGAAAUACAUCAGUCAGAAGUCUAGAUUUUUUGUUCUCAUUGAAAUCAGCUGUUGGAAUUUGUAUCAUAUUAUUCUAGUCAUACUUUUCUGAAAUAAAAAUGAUGAAUCAACAUUCCAAUAAACUAAUAACAGAGAAAUUACUUUAAACAAUAUGGCAGUUUUUUGGUGGUGGUGGUGGUGGUGUUCGUUUGUUUGUUUUGUUUUAUUUUCUUUUGUUUUCUAAUCCAUCCAUAGAGACAUCCAAGGUCAGGCUGGACAGGGCUCUGAGCAACCUUUUCCAGCUGUCGAUGUCCCUCUUCGCUGCAAGGGAAUUGACCUAGAUUACCUUUGGGAGUCCUUUCCACUCAAACUUAUAAUAAUGCUAUGAUUCAGUGAUUAUAAAUAACUAACAAACCUAGCCAGAACUCCUCACACUAAACAACAUAAUGUUAGAGGGAAUGAUAGAAAACUGUAAUUGAUAUUUAACAAAAAGAAACAACCAAAUGAACAGAAGAACCAAAUGAGUUAUUCUGUUGUGAAGAAUCUACUAUGAAACAGACCCUAACAAAUACUUCCAAUUUCUGCCCUCUUUAAGCCUAAAUAAAUAAAUAAAUAAAUUCCACUAUUAAAAAUAUCCCACUUAAAAAAAAAAAAAAAAAUCCACUAUAGAGAUGAAAACAGAUAAGUUUUUUUUCUAACAAUACAGAAAAAUUAAAUGCUUGUACUAUCAUUUUUACCCAUGGUGAAAUACUGCAUACAAAAUUGGUGGGUGAAACAUUAAUGGAAGUAUGUUAAUACUUACAUACUUGAGAAAAGUAGUAUUAAAUCAGUAUUCAAAUGGUAUUUCAUUUUAAUUAGUGUCUCCUUGUCAAACAUUAUAUGUAUUUUUUUAGAGGAAGUUUUUCAUUCAGAGGGUGGUGAUACGCUGGAACAGGUUGCCCAAGGAGGUUGUGGAUGCCCCAACCCUGGAGGCAUUCAAAGCCAGGCUGGAUGUGGCUCCGGGCAGCCUGGUCUAGUGGUUGGCAACCCUGCCCACAGCACAGGGGUUGAAAAUAGAUGAUCUUUGAGGUCCUUUUCAGCCCAGGCCAUUCUCUGAUUCUAUUAUUCUACUCUAUGAUUCAGUAUAUUCAGAAAUUGACUCUGUUCUUUGAAAUUUAUUUAGCAAUUUAUAAAAUCAGACUAUUUUUAGAAGUAUCUUCAUAACAGUUGCUUUAUUAACUUGCUAUUUAAAAAUGGAUUUCAGUUAUUCUAACAAGAUUUUACUUUCACACUUCAGAGCAUGGAAACUUCAAGGAUGGAAUUAGAAAACUGCAAUAUUUCCCUAGUUUUGCACAGCUUUUCUUAGGCUUUUAAUUUGCUUGAUAAUAAUUCCUAAUAGACCACACAAAAACUCUAUUGGUAUGUUGUCAUUUUAUUUUCAUUCUUAAAGAUUAAGGUUUUUGUUUGCUUGUUUGUUUGUUUGCUUUGUUUCUAAGAAACUUUGGUCCUUAUUUAUGUAUUGUUCAUUUAUUCAUUUAUUUAGACUAGGGUUCAAAUGAUUAUGUUGUAACUUCGGAAAGUUCUUCAGAACUUUUAUAAUUUUCUUCAUUAACAUAGUCAUAAUUAAAUGGAUAAUUGAUUUGUGAGAAGUUAUAUUAACAGGAAAAAAGUCUUAUGUUUUUAAGAAGUUCAUAGCCACAUGUAGAAAAGAAGGAUACUUCCAUCAAUUGGGAUAGAAAAAGCUAAAACACGUGACUGCAGACUUCUGUCCUGUCCUGUGUUUCAUUUCUAAAGUUUGAAUAUCUGUCUGUUAUGUGUGUUGAUAUAAUGGAAAUAAUUAUUUAUACAAAUCUGAUUUUUUGGAGAGCUACAAAUUAUCAAAGUCCACAUCUAUCACUUUUUUUUCUUUUUUUUUUUCUUUUUUUAUGUGGACUCUGAGGCCAUACUAGAAUACAAAAGUAAGUCUUUUUAAAGAUGAGAUAUUUCAAAGUAAGAAAUGCCAUACAAAAUAAAACCUUAAAAUUUGUUGGAUUCUGAGCUCACCACCUGCCUCUCCUCUGACAAUUACCAACUAGUAUAGACAAAGUUUGUUUUAUGCACUGUUUCACCUGUGUGGAAUCCAGAUAUAAAUUACUAAAAUUCACCAAACUUGAGUAAUAUAAGUAGUAGGGAAAAUAUAGACAAACUGAUGAAUAGGGUAGGGAAUCUGGUAACAAAUGGCAUACAAUACAAGGAAGAAUUGCCUUUUUUUUUUUUUUUUUUUUUUUUUUUUUUUAGGGGAGUGUAAGGUUAAGAGAGUACUUAAAGAAACUGAUAGUUUGCAACCAUGAAUUCUGAGGAAGGUUGUUGAUAUUACUGCAAGAUAACUCUUGGUUAUCUUUGAAAGACUGUAGUAAUGGGGAGAAUAUCCUGAACAAUCUCACCUCAGUCCCAUGGCCAGAGGUGGAUAACUAAUAGUGAAAAACAUUUCCAAACACACAAAGGACUGGAAGGAAGUCAGUGUUAAUUUAUGAAGGGCAGAUCAGGCUUACUCAUCCUGAUAACCCCAAGGGGAGAGCAGUGGCUGUUGUUUAGUAACAUGAUUUUAGUAAGGCUUUAGCCACAGUUUCCCACAACAUCCACAUAUAUAUGUUAGACAAAUAGCUACCAAUUUCAGGCAGACUAAAAACCAGUUGAAUAGGCUAGGCCCAGAGGAUUGCAAUCAGUGACACAAAGUCCAUGUGGAGGUCUGUCAUUAGUGAUUAAUACUGAGGUGAGUGCUUUACAGACUCUUCACUUCUGACCUAGGCAAUGGAAUGGGCUACCUCAGCAGAUUUUGAGAUUACAAACAUCUGUGAGGAGUGGUGGAUGCACUACAUGGUUUUGCUACCAUUCUGAGGGAACUCCUCUUGGGACUGAUCAGCUUGAAAACAGCACAGCAGAGAGAGACAUGGAGGUCCUGGUGCAAUACCUGUUAUGUGGCAGCCAUACCACCUUGGGACAAAGAAGAUAAUCGGUCUCUUGAGCUGCAUUAGAAGAAAAAAGCUGCUGUCAGGUUGAGGGGAGGUGAUCCUUUUUUUCCAAUACUCUGUCCUGGUGCAGCCACACCUGGAUCCAGGUCUGAAUUGACUGUCUUUUUUUCUUCAGUUGUGAUCUAUGAAAGUCAUACAAUGUAUGCCAGUAGUGACUGUGUAUUGCUUAUAGAUGAAGUAAAGCAUCUGAAUACUAUAAAGUUUGAUAUCUAAAAACUGUACUGAUUAAAUAAUGUAUAGCACUGUGUUGGUGCUGCUAAAUGAAUAAACAUUGCAUGGCUAGCCCUGUUUUAAUGCCAACAAAUGAAUAAUGUUAAAAUUGUGAUUACAACAUGAUAUUAAUUAUAUGACGCAUAUUCUGAAUACUUGCAAUGGAUGAAUAAAUAAAAUUGUUAAAAAAAAAAAAAAAGAAGUUCAAACUUUAAUCUUCUCCAGACUUUCAAAAGACCCUUUUUCACCUGUAAUCUCUCUUUUCAUCC
ensembl:lncRNA